AGAGUUUGAUCCUGGCUCAGGACGAACGCUGGCGGUGUGCUUCACACAUGCAAGUCGAGCGAAUGAAGAAGGUAGCUUGCUACUUUUGGAUUUAGCGGCGGACGGGUGAGUAAUAUAUAGGAAUCUGCCCUAGAGCGGGGAACAGCAGACCGAAAGGUUUGCUAAUGCCCCAUAGGUACGCAGUCUUCGGAUUGUUUAUUAAAGGAGUAAUCCACUCUAGGAUGAGCCUGUAUCCGAUUAGCUAGUUGGCGGGGUAAAGGCCCACCAAGGCUACGAUCGGUAGUUGGUCUGAGAGGAUGAUCAGCCACAAUGGGACUGAGACACGGCCCAUACUCCUACGGGAGGCAGCAGUGGGGAAUUUUACACAAUGGGGGAAACCCUGAUGUAGCGACACCGCGUGAACGAAGAAGCCUUUUGGGGUGUAAAGUUCUGUCGGCUGGAACGAAAAAAAUGACGGUACCAGCAAAGGAAGCAUCGGCUAACUACGUGCCAGCAGCCGCGGUAAGACGUAGGAUGCAAGCGUUGUCCGGAUUUAUUGGGCGUAAAGAGUUCGUAGGCGGUUAUUUAAGUCUGGUGUUAAAUACUGUGGCCCAACCACAGAACUGCAUUGGAUACUGGAUGACUUGAGUGCGGUAGAGGCGAGUGGAAUUCCCAGUGUAGCGGUGAAAUGCGUAGA
rnacentral:rRNA from 1 species